rnacentral:rRNA from 1 species
CCUCAGUAGUUAGAUAACAAAACUACUCGCCAGAAUACUACGAGCUACAGCUUAAAACUCAAAGGACUUGACGGUGCUUUACACCCCCUAGAGGAGCCUGUUCCGUAAUCGAUAAACCCCGAUCCACCCCACCCUCUCUUGCUCAGCCUAUAUACCGCCAUCUUCAGCAAACCCCAAUGAAGGUCACAAAGUGAGCGCAAACGCCACCACCGCGAAUACGUUAGGUCAAGGUGUAGCCUAUGAGAUGGUAAAAAAUGGGCUACAUUUUCUACCUCAGAAAAUUCCACGAAAGCCCUUAUGAAAUUUAAGGACCCAAGGAGGAUUUAGCAGUAAAUUAAGAAUAGAGUGCUUAAUUGAACUAGGCCAUAAAGCG